UACGUAGGGUCCGAGCGUUUGUCCGGAAUUAUUGGGCGUAAAGGGCUCGUAGGCGGUCUGUUGCGUCGGGGAGUGAAAACUUACAGCUUAACUGUGAGCGUGCUUCCGAUACGGGCAGACUUGAGGUAUUCAGGGGAGAACGGAAUUCCUGGUGUAGCGGUGAAAAUGCGCAGAUAUCAGGAGGAACACCGGUGGCGAAGGCGGCAUCCUGGACCGGUAUUGACGCUGAGGCGCGAAAGCCAGGGGAGCAAACGGGG
rnacentral:rRNA from 1 species